rnacentral:rRNA from 1 species
UACAGAGGUCUCAAGCGUUGUUCGGAUUCAUUGGGCGUAAAGGGUGCGUAGGUGGCGCCAUAAGUCGGGUGUGAAAUCUCGGGGCUUAACUCCGAAACUGCAUUCGAUACUGUGGUGCUCGAGGACUGGAGAGGAGACUGGAAUUCAUGGUGUAGCAGUGAAAUGCGUAGAGAUCAUGAGGAAGACCAGUGGCGAAGGCGGGUCUCUGGGCCGAUACUGACGCUGAGGAGCGAAAGCGUGGGGAGCGAACAGG